UUUAUUCUUAGAAACCAUCUCCUUCUCCCCAAAUCCUCACCCAAAACUCCUAUAGCAUGCGACCCCUCCUCUCUCUUCUUAGAAACCAUCUGGUCUAAACUUUCUCAAGUAGCAAAUAUAAUACCAGUCCGAUUUGUCUGAGCCCUGAAGCAAGAUUUGGAAGAGGAGAUCAGGUUUAUUUGGGCGACUCGGACUGAGACUCAGGGUUGCUAGGAACACAACCCAGCAGAUUGGUAGUAGAUUGAGUUUGAGAAGAAACUAUGGGGUCAAAGAUAAUAAAUUUAGGGUGGAU